UAUGGUACCAAUUUAUGCAAAAUACGAUUAUCUAUAAAUGCAUAUCAAGGACGACCAAAUAGACGUCCUAAUUUUUUUGGAAAAAAAUAUUUAUGAAAAUGAAAAAUAAAGAAUUAUAACGAUUAUAAAAAAAUAUUUAUGAAAAUGAAAAAUAAAGAAUUAUAACGAUUAUUCAGGGGGCCGUGGCGCCAAGAACGGCAUAAUUAUUGAAGGUUCUGAGACCGGUCACCCCCGGGCAGGACCCCCACCCUCAGGAAUCCGGGGUCACCUAAUUGUCACAAGUCCUAGUUUAGGCGCCCUGCGCCUUGUUUAUGUCCCUAUAUAAUAUGAUAAUAUAGUUAUUAUAACGAUUAUUCAGGGGGCCGUGGCGCCAAGAACGGCAUAAUUAUUGAAGGUUCUGAGACCGGUCACCCCCGGGCAGGACCCCCACCCUCAGGAAUCCGGGGUCACCUAAUUGUCACAAGUCCUAGUUUAGGCGCCUUGCGCCUAUUUACCGAGGGAUAUUUUCCCGUCGGGAUCGAAAAACUAGUCGAUAAGCAUAUUUAGAACGGAGUUAGUGCGUUGAAGUUAGUGCGUGCUAGCUUGACUUUGGUGAAUUUACCGGACUGGUGAUGGUGUUAAAAGACUAUCCGAGGCAAGUGAAGAGAGGAUAUCAGUAGUAAAUUGCAUGAAGAAUUUAAAAUUAAAAGCGGUGGGAGUCCUAAGCUUAAAGCAGACUCUUGUUACCACAUGGCUUUUACCUGUUGAUUCUUGUGGUUUCAGCUCUUGAGGUUAACCUGUCACCUCUACCCACAUGCAUAUUCCUUGUGUUCUACAGACUAUCUACCGGUAAUUCAAAUUAAAUCGGAUAAUGCAUGAACAAUAAUGGAACUUUAAGAAAGCAUCAUGUCCUAUUGUGGUUUGUUCAUGUUUGAUAAGAAAUUAUGAAAAACAAAAUUAAGGCUGUUUAAAGAAAUAUAAUUGUUGUGAAAAUUUGUUUUUCAAUAAAAGUAUGCAAUUAUA